CAGUUGUGUUAUGCUGUCCCCAUAGCAAACCACAGUAACAGAUGAAUUUGGGUCGGUAUUGCAGAAAUCUGUGGUGCUAUUCCAACCGUUAAGAAUAUAUGGAUAGUUAAGAAGCCGCUGAAUUCUUAGAAGGGGCUGACCNCCUGGGAGGUUUGUAGCUGCUCUGAAUGUUCAACUAAAAGCAAAAUGAUGAUGAAAACUAAGAUUGCAGAAUGCUCGAAUGUCUUUGCCAUUGAUUGUAUAUACAGAACCAGUACAACAAAGCAUAGAAGAUAUCCAGAGCUCUGGAGGACUAGAAAAAGAGCAUUAUCUCCAGGGAAACCAGCUUCACUUUGGACCUCAUAAUCGAAUAAAACCACCAAGUGAUCUUGAAAUACUGCUUAUCGAUGCUUCUUCUCUAACUCCAAAGGAACCCUCCACAUAGAAGACAAAAUCUUCAAAAAUGCCUUAAAAGCCAGUUCAGAUUUUGCAUGUUUCCUUGCAUUUCACAUUUCCACCAUAGUCAAAACUCAAUCAAAGACCGAUUUCCGAUCCUCAAAGCAAAUAGGAAGAUGAAAAACCGAACCAAAUAGCUUCAGCAAAAUCC
rnacentral:misc_RNA from 1 species